UGCUUGUCUCAAGAUUAAGCCAUGCAUGUCUCAGUACAAGCCAUAUUAAGGUGAAACCGCGAAAGGCUCAUUAAAUCAGUUAUGGUUCCUUAGAUCGUACCCACAUUUACUUGGAUAACUGUGGUAAUUCUAGAGCUAAUACAUGCAAACAGAGUCCCGACCGGAGACGGAAGGGAUGCUUUUAUUAGAUCAAAACCGAUCGGCGUGCGCGUGCCGUCCCUUCGGGGCGUGCACCGCCGCCGCUAACGAUGGUGAAUCUGAAUAACUUUCUGCUGAUCGCACGGUCUAGAACCGGCGACGCAUCUUUCAAAUGUCUGCCUUAUCAACUGUCGAUGGUAGGUUCUUCGCCUACCAUGGUUGUAACGGGUAACGGGGAAUCAGGGUUCGAUUCCGGAGAGGGAGCCUGAGAAACGGCUACCACAUCCAAGGAAGGCAGCAGGCGCGCAAAUUACCCACUCCCGGCACGGGGAGGUAGUGACGAAAAAUAACGAUACGGGACUCAUCCGAGGCCCCGUAAUCGGAAUGAGUACACUUUAAAUCCUUUAACGAGGAUCAAUUGGAGGGCAAGUCUGGUGCCAGCAGCCGCGGUAAUUCCAGCUCCAAUAGCGUAUAUUAAAGUUGUUGCGGUUAAAAAGCUCGUAGUUGGACUUGUGUACCGCGCUGUCGGUUCAUCGCUCGCGGUGCUAACUGGCAUGCUGCGGUACGUCCUGCCGGUGGGCGACUGUCGGACGGUGUCGUUCGGUGCGGUAGCCGCGUGUGCGUUAGCGCGCACACCGGUCCCACCGCGCCCGGUCGGCGGCCCAACUUGAAAUCCUGCCGCGGUGCUCUUAGCUGAGUGUCGCAGCGGGCCGGCACGUUUACUUUGAACAAAUUAGAGUGCUUAAAGCAGGCUAUAAAUCUCGCCUGAAUAUUGUGUGCAUGGAAUAAUGGAAUAGGACCUCGGUUCUAUUUUGUUGGUUUUCGGAAAUCCGAGGUAAUGAUUAAUAGGGACAGAUGGGGGCAUUCGUAUUGCGACGUUAGAGGUGAAAUUCUUGGAUCGUCGCAAGACGGACAGAAGCGAAAGCAUUUGCCAAAAAUGUUUUCAUUAAUCAAGAACGAAAGUUAGAGGUUCGAAGGCGAUCAGAUACCGCCCUAGUUCUAACCAUAAACGAUGCCAGCUAGCGAUCCGCCGACGUUCCUCCGAUGACUCGGCGGGCAGCUUACGGGAAACCAAAGCUUUUGGGUUCCGGGGGAAGUAUGGUUGCAAAGCUGAAACUUAAAGGAAUUGACGGAAGGGCACCACCAGGAGUGGAGCCUGCGGCUUAAUUUGACUCAACACGGGAAAUCUCACCAGGCCCAGACACCGGAAGGAUUGACAGAUUGAUAGCUCUUUCUUGAUUCGGUGGGUGGUGGUGCAUGGCCGUUCUUAGUUGGUGGAGCGAUUUGUCUGGUUAAUUCCGAUAACGAACGAGACUCUAGCCUGCUAACUAGGCGUACACAAUUUUCCGGUAUCCCGAAGGCCCGGCGGUGCGUGUCGAUGUCGGUGCUGUGCGUUCUCACGGCGGCGCGUUAGCGGUACGCCGCGCGCGUCCCGGACGUUCGCACGCCCGAUGUCACCGCUGCCGUCCGCGGUUUUUACUACCGGCGUACUUCAAAUUCUUCUUAGAGGGACAGGCGGCUUCUAGCCGCACGAGAUUGAGCAAUAACAGGUCUGUGAUGCCCUUAGAUGUUCUGGGCCGCACGCGCGCUACACUGAAGGAAUCAGCGUGUCAUCCCUGGCCGAAAGGCCCGGGUAACCCGCUGAACCUCCUUCGUGCUAGGGAUUGGGGCUUGCAAUUGUUCCCCAUGAACGAGGAAUUCCCAGUAAGCGCGAGUCAUAAGCUCGCGUUGAUUACGUCCCUGCCCUUUGUACACACCGCCCGUCGCUACUACCGAUUGAAUGAUUUAGUGAGGUCUUCGGACCGGUGCGCCGCGCUGUUCCGACAGGGCGGUAGUUGCUGGGAAGAUGACCAAACUUGAUCAUUAGAGGAAGU
rnacentral:rRNA from 1 species